UUCAGCCCUGGCGCUACAAGAGAUAAGAGUCUCCUUCAGGGAAGACACAGCCACCUUCGGGUCAUUAUACAACACUUGAGCUGGGAGUCUGAGUACCUGAGCUCAUCCUUUUCUUCCACUACUUUGUCCAGCAACUAGUCGAUCUCAUUAUGUUCAUUAGUUUUUCCAAAAUGCUUGCAAAUAUUUACAGUAGCCAGGACAUGGAAGCAACCUAAAUAUCCAUCAACAGAGGAAUGGAUAAAGAAGAUGUGGCACAUAUAUACAGUGGAAUAUUACUCAGCCAUAAAAAAAGAAGAAAACAAUGCCAUUUGCAGCAGCAUGGAUGGACCUAGAGAUUGUCAUACAGAGUGAAUUUCCUUCCAGACUCAACUGGAGGUCAGAGGGCACAGGAGCCUGUGUGGUGUGGUCCAUGCACGUUCACCUUCGCAGAUCAGAGGGCAAGAUGGAAGAAAGUGGAGAAUGGGUGUGGGGAGACAAAUACACGCUUCUUCCUCAGACAACAUGAGUCUUUAGAGGUCUAUCCUGUAACGGCGACGUCUGGAUUUACGCGGGGCGGAGGGCCGGCUGCUGGGAUUUAAGGUUCGUAGUGACGCCCACACUGGAAGGUGGAGAAAGGUGGACCGCGUUGCACUGACUUAGAAAGGAGAAAUUUAACGCUUUCCAGGGACAUGGGCUCCGAGCUCUACGCUUCCGUUUCCAUAAAAAAAUCGGAAACAUAUUUUUUUAAUUGUUAGACUUUUUAAAAAAGAAAUGAAAAAGAAAAUAUUCUUUGGGGUCCAAAGUACAAGAAAUGAAAGAAAACUGAUUGUCACCAGAGA